GAUUUCUUUGUUGCAAUGUUGGGGUCUGAGAUAACACUGUUGGAGGCUGCAGGCAACCACAGCUGAUUCCACCUUUUAUUGUGUGUUGUUAUUUACCAGCGUUAUAAGCUAAGGAGGCAGAUAGAUGACAAAGAGCUUGAAGAUUUUGCACAGCUCACAGGCCCUGAAGAGAGGCUGGCAGCGUCAGACCGACAGAACCAAGACAUCUGAGGGGCAACCAGGAGGUGCCUGUGGCUGCACAGCACAGAGAGUCCGUGGUACUCUUAGAAGAAGAACGCCCUGCCUUGUCUCCCUCAUUCCCCACUGAUGCCAACACUGAGCUGAACACUACAAGGGAGAGUGAAUCCAUUGCUUCUCCAUGUUGCUGUGAAGGUGGCUGGAAAGCAUGCAGUAGGACACUAAAGAUUUGGCACUUACUCUCAUUAACUGAUGAAUUUGGAGGACCUAGAAGUGGAAAGCCAGCACUCCCAGGAUAUGAAUCAGAGAAAAAGCAGUGAAGUCUUGUCCCAGGGAGAAAAGGGAAGACUGGCAGAGAAUUUUUCACUGAUUUGUCUUCCGAAAACACUGAGACUUAGCUGCUCCACGGGGCUUCCUCACUUCUGAGACGCGGGUGAAUGAUUUGAAGAUUUCAGUCCUAGCAACACAGAAGCAACUUUAAAAAUAAGAUUUGCAAGAAGUUACCUCUCUCAGGUAAUGAUACUUUCCUGUAAUUUCUCUCAAAUCUUCCAUUUCCUCAAGGACUACAUAUUUUUAGGGCAUACAUGAAUGAUUUAAUUACAAAGAACUACAUUUUAAAUUUAAUUUUUUAAAACUAGCAACCAGUUUUAUAAUUUUGAAAGCCAAUGGGUACAACAAUCAUGGCAUUCAAUUCUAUGCACUUUGAAACAGUUUUUUUAAAUUAAUUGUAUAAUAGUGCGUGUUUCUUUUGACAAUAAUUUAGGCAGAAUGUGUUUGAAACCAGCAGGCAAUGCCCACAAACUCUGUGUCUAGCAUAGGUAUUUGAAUUUAAAAAAGAAAAAGUCACGCUUAGUGAAUUGGUUCUAAAGAGGCUAUCAAGUGUUCUGAAUUAUAGAUCUGUAAAUUGUAGAAUGUCAUUAUUGAUAUUUUAACUUUAGCCUUAGUUUAUUAAUACAAUAUAGCACUAGCUGAAACUCUGAAUAUACAUCCAGUGAGUAAGACUUGACCUCGGCUCUCUUGAGAUAGACAGUUGCCUUUUAGUGUCAUUUAAG